GCCUGGGUGGCUCAGUGGUUGAGCAUCCGACUUCGACUCGGGUCACGAUCUCACAAUUCGUGGGUUCGAGCCCCGUGUCGGGCU
rnacentral:tRNA from 1 species